rnacentral:lncRNA from 1 species
UCUUGAGGGUUGAUCUCAUGUUUCUUUGGUGGGAGAUGAGAAUGCAACUGUUGAUUGCCUACUUUAUAAUUCUCGGUGUUUUUCCAGUUCCUGGAUUCGCAGGUAAUGGGGCUUAUUUUUUUUCAUAAUUUAAUUUGUUUGAGCAAUGAUAAGUUAAUUCAAUGUGGUGGUCUUCACGAACUUUGAAUUCUGUCAACAUUUGUGAUCUGGGUUCUCAUAAGUUUAUAGUACUG